AAAAUGAAAGCAAACGAAACAGAGAAGAAACAGGGGAGAAAGAAAGAAAGAAAAAGAAAAAGGAAAAUUUGGGUUUCAAGGCUCAAAGUUUAAUUUGAAAUCUCGGCUAAGAAAGGACAAGACAAAGUCAACGGGAGUUAGCUCGAAAAUUACGGUUUGUAUUUCUAUAAUCCGAACCUAAUACUUAAUUGUUGAAUUUAUUUCUUAAUAUGUAUAUUAAGUGUUUUGAAGUAAGAAUUAUUGUGUUUUGCAAAUGAAAUGGAUUGAUAUAGUAUGUGAUGAAUUUAUUGAAUUUAUAUUGAUUGAAA